rnacentral:rRNA from 1 species
AGUGAACGCUGGCGGUAGGCCUAACACAUGCAAGUCGAACGGCAGCACAGUAAGAGCUUGCUCUUACGGGUGGCGAGUGGCGGACGGGUGAGGAAUACAUCGGAAUCUACUUUUUCGUGGGGGAUAACGUAGGGAAACUUACGCUAAUACCGCAUACGACCUACGGGUGAAAGCAGGGGAUCUUCGGACCUUGCGCGAUUGAAUGAGCCGAUGUCGGAUUAGCUAGUUGGCGGGGUAAAGGCCCACCAAGGCGACGAUCCGUAGCUGGUCUGAGAGGAUGAUCAUCCACACUGGAACUGAGACACGGUCCAGACUCCUACGCGAGGCAGCAGUGGGGAAUAUUGGACAAUGGGCGCAAGCCUGAUCCAGCCAUACCGCGUGGGUGAAGAAGGCCUUCGGGUUGUAAAGCCCUUUUGUUGGGAAAGAAAAGCAGCAGGUUAAUACCCCGCUGUUCUGACGGUACCCAAAGAAUAAGCACCGGCUAACUUCGUG